rnacentral:rRNA from 1 species
GAAUUCGCCCUUAGAGUUUGAUCCUGGCUCAGGACGAACGCUGGCGGCGCGCUUAACACAUGCAAGUCGAACGAGCGAGAGAGAGCUUGCUUUCUCAAGCGAGUGGCGAACGGGUGAGUAACGCGUGAGGAACCUGCCUCAAAGAGGGGGACAACAGUUGGAAACGACUGCUAAUACCGCAUAAGCCCACGACCCGGCAUCGGGUAGAGGGAAAAGGAGCAAUCCGCUUUGAGAUGGCCUCGCGUCCGAUUAGCUAGUUGGUGAGGUAAUGGCCCACCAAGGCGACGAUCGGUAGCCGGACUGAGAGGUUGAACGGCCACAUUGGGACUGAGACACGGCCCAGACUCCUACGGGAGGCAGCAGUGGGGAAUAUUGCACAAUGGGGGAAACCCUGAUGCAGCGACGCCGCGUGGAGGAAGAAGGUCUUCGGAUUGUAAACUCCUGUUGUUGAGGAAGAUAAUGACGGUACUCAACAAGGAAGUGACGGCUAACUACGUGCCAGCAGCCGCGGUAAAACGUAGGUCACAAGCGUUGUCCGGAAUUACUGGGUGUAAAGGGAGCGCAGGCGGGAAGACAAGUUGGAAGUGAAAUCCAUGGGCUCAACCCAUGAACUGCUUUCAAAACUGUUUUUCUUGAGUAGUGCAGAGGUAGGCGGAAUUCCCGGUGUAGCGGUGGAAUGCGUAGAUAUCGGGAGGAACACCAGUGGCGAAGGCGGCCUACUGGGCACCAACUGACGCUGAGGCUCGAAAGUGUGGGUAGCAAACAGAGAUUAGAUACCCUGGUAGUCCACACUGUAAACGAUGAUUACUAGGUGUUGGGAGGAUUGACCCCUUCAGUGCCGCAGUUAACACAAUAAGUAAUCCACCUGGGGAGUACGACCGCAAGGUUGAAACUCAAAGGAAUUGACGGGGGCCCGCACAAGCAGUGGAGUAUGUGGUUUAAUUCGACGCAACGCGAAGAACCUUACCAAGUCUUGACAUCCUGCGACGCACAUAGAAAUAUGUGUUUCCUUCGGGACGCAGAGACAGGUGGUGCAUGGUUGUCGUCAGCUCGUGUCGUGAGAUGUUGGGUUAAGUCCCGCAACGAGCGCAACCCUUAUGGUCAGUUACUACGCAAGAGGACUCUGGCCAGACUGCCGUUGACAAAACGGAGGAAGGUGGGGAUGACGUCAAAUCAUCAUGCCCUUUAUGACUUGGGCUACACACGUACUACAAUGGCGUUAAACAAAGAGAAGCAAGACCGCGAGGUGGAGCAAAACUCAGAAACAACGUCCCAGUUCGGACUGCAGGCUGCAACUCGCCUGCACGAAGUCGGAAUUGCUAGUAAUCGCAGAUCAGCAUGCUGCGGUGAAUACGUUCCCGGGCCUUGCACACACCGCCCGUCA